AAAAAUUGAAGAAAAUUUCUUUAAUAACGAUUGUUUAUUGCCACUAUAAAGUACUUAUAGUACUUUGAACUAUGAGACGUGUUAUCAGUAUCCAAAUAUGCUUAGCUGUUUCUAUUUGUAUACAGCUUUCAGUCUUUUGUAUUGGUUUAAAGAGAAAAAAUAAGGUUUAUUAGAAGUAUAAUCUGACAAUGUAAAAUUGGUUUAGUUUAUUCCAGAAAAUUAUUGUAAAUUCAAUUAUUUAUUUACUUUUUAACACUGUUGCAUACAGAAAUAUAAUACAAUUGACAUAAUUGGUAAGGUGGUCGACUGGCGGACUUAUCGCUUUUGAGAAAUCUCUUCAAGGCAAACACUGAGAAAAUUAUCUUCAGGCUACGCGAACACCUGGCGUAUUAUUUGCUAUAAAGCAGGUGCUGACGGGCGGCUUCUAUCAGAUAUCCUGAAUAAGCAGCUGCCUGGGCCGUGGUUGAAGAAACUAAGACCAAGCAUGGGGAUUUGGUAAGCGGAGGUAGCUAGCUCCAGGAGGAAGACCGUUAAGUCCGUGUCUUUGUAUGUAUAAAAAGUAAAAUCUUCUUGACAUUGUCACAAUCGAAAGUAAAAAAAUAACUUUUCGAGUCGAUUUGUUUUGAAUUAAAAUAUUAUAGAUGAUGUAAUUCUAACAUCGUCCAUGUACAAGGUAAUAACCGCUCGUAUGGCGAAAACAACGUGAGGAAAGCGAACGAAGAAAUCUCAGGCCCAGACCUAAAAGGUUGUACCACCAAUCCACUCCACUGUGUUUUAAAAUAUAAAUUGUGGUAUUUACUCCUGAUACUCUCAAUAAAUAAGGGCGCCUAUGUAUGGGUUGGGAAAAACUGAUUUGAAUUAUUACAAUAAUUUUACCCGAGCCGGCCCGAGCGAAAGAUUAUGUUAAUCUGUAAAUAUGUAUCAAGUAAAUUGCUGAAUAUGCUUUAUUGUACAAUGACGUAUAUUAUGUCAGAUUUUUGGGAGAAAUGUACCCAGAAAUUGACGAAAAUGAAUUAGUAGAUACGGAGUUGCUGCAUCUGGCACAGGACAGGACUGACGGCCAACAUCCAGUUAUGGAGAAGCAAUAAACGAAGAAGAAGUAGAUACAUAGGGCUUGAGAUACGUGAAAAUCCUAAAACGUGUAUUUUCUUUACAUAUGUCGAUAUAUUUUCAAAUAAAACCGCUAUAAAAUAUUUUUGUAUCACGAUUACAAUAAAUGCGAUGCGCACAUAUAUUUUA